UUUGGAGGAAAAGAACUUCGCAAACCAAAAAAAACCCAGGAAAAUUGUUUAAAAUUUUCAGGGUUAAUAACGUUUGAUGUGUUUUCUAGGAAUAUAUAUAUAUAUGUAGCCAUGUUCUUUAUACCUAGCUAAGUCUCCAGUUUAUAUUUAAGUGACUAGCUAUUAGCUGCUGUAGCUAGCUAAUGCUAGCUUUAAACUAAAGAUUCCCAGUAUAUAUAAUCCCACAAAACACAUCAAACGUUAUUAACCCUGAAAAUUUUAAACAAUUUUCCUGGGUUUUUUUUGGUUUGCGAAGUUCUUUUCCUCCAAAUAUUCUGAAAAUAAAGUUCAGAAAUUACUUAUUUUUAAAAUGUAAAUUUAAUUUGUUUCAAAUUGUGGGCAAAAACCUUAAUCAGCAUGCUAAAAGAACUGACUUUUCUUAAUUUAGAAUUACUAAACACAACCAUUUUCUUACAUUUAGUGUAAACUUUUGUGCGUAUGGCUUAUAUUUAAUACACCAAAAGAGCUACUUUGUUGAUUUUAAUUUUAUACUCUUUGUAAGCUAUUUUUUUCUUCUUUUUGACAUUUCUGUUUUACCACUCAAUUUUUACAUUUUAUAAGUUAUUUGGAACAGAAUGGUAUGAAAUAGACCAAAAUACCUGAUCUUAGUUGUUUUUAAUUUACAGGCUGUGUCUGUGAAACUUUAAGGGGAACAUUUGGUGGAAGACAAUGGCAUGACAUAUACUGACAGAACUGUUUUUUGUUGCGUUAGAUGUUAUAUCUGAACCUUUUUGACAUUUUAUGUUAAUUUUGCGAGGAAGGACCAUAUAUAUAUACACAGAAGAAGAAUUCAAUUUUACACCUUGCAAGCUUUGUAUAAAUUCUUACUGGGGAGGACUCUGUGCAAUAUAUCGAAAUGACUGAUCCUUCUCGAUUUAAAUUUGAUGUGUUCUAAAUCGUAUAUAGGUUUGGAAAUUUUGUGUAAGAUUUAAUGGGUAAGGGCUAGAUGCAAUAUGUCAAAAAAACUUUUUUUGUUGAAUCAGAAGCACUCCCUACAACCAUUCUUUUUUUUACAGUUUGUGAAGCUUUUGUGAGGAAAGAGUGUA